CGGGUGAAGGUGGCGGACGGGUGAGUAACGCGUAAAGAACUUGCCUUACAGACUGGGACAACAUUUGGAAACGAAUGCUAAUACCGGAUAUUAUGACUGAGUCGCAUGAUUUGGUUAUGAAAGCUAUAUGCGCUGUGAGAGAGCUUUGCGUCCCAUUAGUUAGUUGGUGAGGUAACGGCUCACCAAGACGAUGAUGGGUAGCCGGCCUGAGAGGGUGAACGGCCACAAGGGGACUGAGACACGGCCCUUACUCCUACGGGAGGCAGCAGUGGGGAAUAUUGGACAAUGGACCAAAAGUCUGAUCCAGCAAUUCUGUGUGCACGAUGAAGUUUUUCGGAAUGUAAAGUGCUUUCAGUUGGGAAGAAGUCAGUGACGGUACCAACAGAAGAAGCGACGGCUAAAUACGUGCCAGCAGCCGCGGUAAUACGUAUGUCGCAAGCGUUAUCCGGAUUUAUUGGGCGUAAAGCGCGUCUAGGCGGUUUAGUAAGUCUGAUGUGAAAAUGCGGGGCUCAACCCCGUAUUGCGUUGGAAACUGCUAAACUAGAGUACUGGAGAGGUAGGCGGAACUACAAGUGUAGAGGUGAAAUUCGUAGAUAUUUGUAGGAAUGCCGAUGGGGAAGCCAGCCUACUGGACAGAUACUGACGCUAAAGCGCGAAAGCGUGGGUAGCAAACAGGAUUAGAUACCCUGGUAGUCCACGCCGUAAACGAUGA
rnacentral:rRNA from 1 species